rfam:Pteropus alecto contig15744, whole genome shotgun sequence.
GUGCUCUCUCUGGCAGCACAUGUACUAAGAUUGGAAAGAUAGAGAAGAUUGGCAUGGCCUCUGCACAAGGAUGACACAGAAAUUCAGAAGCGUUCCAAUUGUUU